rnacentral:rRNA from 1 species
GUGGGGAAUUUUGGACAAUGGGCGCAAGCCUGAUCCAGCCAUGCCGCGUGCGGGAAGAAGGCCUUCGGGUUGUAAACCGCUUUUGUCAGGGAAGAAAUCUUCUGGGCUAAUACCUCGGGAGGAUGACGGUACCUGAAGAAUAAGCACCGGCUAACUACGUGCCAGCAGCCGCGGUAAUACGUAGGGUGCAAGCGUUAAUCGGAAUUACUGGGCGUAAAGCGUGCGCAGGCGGUUGUGCAAGACAGGUGUGAAAUCCCCGGGCGUAACCUGGGAACUGCACUUGUGACUGCACGGCUGGAGUGCGGCAGAGGGGGAUGGAAUUCCGCGUGUAGCAGUGAAAUGCGUAGAUAUGCGGAGGAACACCGAUGGCGAAGGCAAUCCCCUGGGCCUGCACUGACGCUCAUGUACGAAAGCGUGGGGAGCAAACAGGAUUAGAUACCCCAGUAGUCC